GGCGGGAGGAGCCGGGCGGUGAGCGAGGUACGGGGCCAUUCACGCUCCUCCGGUGGCCCGAGAAGGUCCGGGUGAGGCGGCAGCCCUGGCGUCGUCCCGCGUUGGAGGCGUUCGCUGCCGGCUCGGGCAGCACCGCGGUACUUUUUGCCGUGUUGUCAUGUUCAAGACCCAUAGCCAUGCCCUGGAAUCGAGGAAAAUCAGUUUAUUCCUUGUCUCACUAGAAAAUGAGCUGCUGAAAGGUUAAAAAUCCAAGCUGGGUUUCCCCCCUUUAACAGCUGAGGAACUGUGCUGUGAACAGAUACGAGAUGACGACUGGUAGAAAACUGGAAAUACAUAUUGCUGGUCUGACUGGUAGAAGCUGUGUGGAUGUGGUUUGUGUACACAGGAAACUGAACUAGACCACAUCUGUAGCAUGAAGCUCAUCAUAGGAUUCCUGACCCGCACCAGCAGCUUGGGAGAAAGGGGUAAAAAGAGAAAAGCCAUUAUAAAGUUUUUUCUCGUGAGACGCCCCCUGCAGUCCUGCACCCAGCUCUGGGGCCCCAACGUAAGAGGGAUAUGGAGCUGUUGGAGCGAGUCCAGCGGAGGCCACAAAGCUGCUCCGAGGGCUGGAGCACCUCUGCUCUGGAGACAGGCUGAGAGAGCUGGGCUUGUUCAGCCUGGAGAAGAGAAGGCUCCAGGGACACCUUAGAGCAGCUGCCAGUGACUAAAGGGGCUGACAAGAAAUCUGGAGAAGGGCUUUUUACAAGGGCCUGUAGUGAGAGGACAAUGGGGAAUGGCUUUAAACUGACAGAGGGGAGAUUUAGAUUAGGAAGUUCUUCCCUGUGAGGGUGGUGAGACCCUGGCACAGGUUGCCCAGAGAAGCUGUGGCUGCCCCAUCCCUGGCAGUGUUCAAGCCCAGGUUGGAUGGGGCUUGGAGCAACCUGAUCUAGUGGAAGGUGUCCCUGCCCGUGGCAGGGGGUUAGAACUGGAUGAGCUUUAAGGUCCCUUCCAACCCAAACCAUUCUGUGAUUCUAUGGUUCCAUGAAAAUUGCGCUUCUGUGUACUGAAGCCUCUGGCCAGGUGCCCUUCAACAGCAGGGCGCUGUCUCACACUAAUAGUUAAUGUCAUUAGCUUGGAAAUACAGUACUCACAUUCACCAUUCAGCUUUAAUUUUGGCCUCUCGUCACUCGGAUCCCGAGGCCUGGGGAACUUCAGCCGUGACCUGCAUGUAUCUGCAGUGGCUGGAGGUAGUCACUAGAGGGUAGAGGUGUAUACGGAUUUAACGCACUGCUCUAAAUAGCUGGAAAUGAUAAUAUUUGCCUUGGAUGUAAGAAAUGGCUCAGCUGCUUAAAAUAUAUAAAAUGAAAACAAAGCACGAUCAAGGAGUUUGCUAAUUCCACCAAAAUGUUUAAUACCAUAAUAGAUUUUCAUUGAA